rnacentral:piRNA from 1 species
UAACAGUACCACCACCACUGUCUCAGAAGCC